rnacentral:rRNA from 1 species
GCCCCCGCGGACCAUUUGCGGAGAAGUUCCCAUUGAACCUUUAACCAUUUAGAGGAAGGGAGAAGUCCGUAACAAGGGUUUUCCCGUANGGUGAACCUUGCGGGAAGGAUCAUUUGUCGAAACCCUGCAAAGCAGAACGACCCGCGCAACAAAUUAUUACUCUUCCAUGAGAAGUUCGGGUCUCGGCUCGRACAUUCUCAAACCCCAAACAAACAAUCGGGCGCGGAAAGCGUCAAGGAAAAAUCAAAAGAGSAUCACCGCCCCUUUGUGGCACCGARCACGGUGUUCGCCUUGGGGAUGCGUGUGUUCUAUAAGAUCAUAACGACUCUCGGMAACGGAUAUCUCGGCUCUCGCAAUCRAUGAAGAACGUASCGAAAUGCGAUACVUGGUGUGAAUUGCARAAUUCCRUGAACCAUCGAGUUUUUGAACGCAAGUUGCGCCCAAAGCCUUUUGGCCGAGGGCACGCCUGCCUGGGCRUCACGCACCGUUGCCCCCUUACUCAAGCCCGUCUCUUCGGUAACGGAGAACGGACGAGUCUAGUGGGCGGAGAUUGGCUUCCCGUUGGCUUUGUCUUCCGGUUGGCCUAAAAUUGAAUUCCUUAGCCGCGAAUGUCGUGGCACUUGGUGGUCUUCGAUUAAAUCGUAAAACCCGCCACGCGCAUGCGUCGGACUAAAGGAUCUUCUUACACCCAAUGCCCGUCCCAAUCAGGGCGGCGCUUCCAACGCGACCCCAGGUCAGGCGGGGUUACCCGCUGAAUUUAAGCAUAUCAAUCUGCGGAGGAAAAGAAACU